AAUGUAAGGAGUCAGGUGAAAUACUAUUGUUGCUAUUAUUAGUCGGUGGAGAAGUUGGAUUGCUGGAAUUGCUCAUUUCGCUUCCGCUGAUGGUGUUUGGCGGACUUGUCUCUCCAGCUCCAACCCCUGUGUUUGCUUCAUCGCCGGUCCAAUCUGUCACUCCGCUUACUUGCGACUGUUGGUAUACCGGCUGAUGAUGCUGGUAUUGGAGGUGUGUGUACGCGUGAGCAUGAUGUGACCAGCUCGGUAGAACCUCCGCCGGAUCCAAAUACUGCUGUCCAGCAGCCUGGUGGUGUACUCCGUGCGGAUGUCCAUGGUACCCGUACCAGUAUUGUUGGCUACCGUCGGCAACAGAUGAAUUAUUCGCGUGCUGUUGCGUCUGUUGCACUUGAGUUUGUUGCAUCUGUUGCCCUAAUGGUUGUUGGCCAACAAUCGGUUGCUGUUGCCGGUACAUUGCGAACGGAGUGUAAUAAGACAUCAUACCGAGCCCGCUGAUGUCCGCCAUUGAGCGAAGAGGCUAUUUUCCGAAGUGGAAUGAUGCACGCACGGAUUCCCGGGAUGCACUACACAGAACGAAUGGUACUGGUCAUUAGUUAGAUGACCGUUGAACACCCGGGAUCUUAUUGAGAUCUUGGUUACGACUGCUUUCUGAUUUGUGACCAACGAGUGAGGAUGCGACGACUUUACUUAAAUAGCAAAGUCCGCCUACAGCGUGCUUUUGUCCCCACCACGCGGUCACUUUUCCGCCAAUCGUCAUUCGACUCUCCACUCUCCAACCGUAAUGGCCGUUCGACCAUCGUCCCGACGCCCAAACAUGCCGCUAUUCGAUAAAAUACGCGCAGAAGGCGGUCCUCACGCCUCCGAAAACUCGAUUCCCAUGUAAAAGAUGCGAAAUAGACAAUAUUUUUCCCGCUUAUCGCACUUUACCAGCACUUGUCCACGUUAUGAAAAUAUAUCUUCUGUCUUUGUGUGUUUACAUGACCUCUACUUCUAGUGGGAGAAUUCUUUUAAUUGCAUGCAAGAAAGUUAAAAUUGUUAGAUUUGACUUUCACGAUAUU